AAGACAUACAACAAAAAAUACAGACGCUCAAAAAAUAAUGAUGAUCCUUUUGAUCUUCUGGGUCCGAGCUCUGCUGCACUAACCAAUCCGAUGAAAUUAAGAGUAGAGGCUAUUAAUGAUAAAAAAAAAUUAAUGGAAUGGAAAGCAUCGGAAAGAAAACAAAUGAUAAUUCAAAGCGAACAUCAAUCUUUCCUUUUUCUUUCCGAACCCUCCAUUCCACUAAAUCCCCACUCCAAACCUAAUAAUCACCGAAGCCCCAAAUGCGAAAUAAACACACGGAUGGUGGAAAAUCAAUGGAAUGGAAGGCAUCGGAAAGAAAACAAACGAAAAAUCAAAAUCAAGUAAUAUUGUUCUUUCAAUUUUCUUUCCGAGCCCGCCAUUCCGAUGAAUCCCCACUCCAAGCCAAACAAUCAUCAACUGUCCCAAAAUGCUAUAAAGAACGGAUUGUGAAAAAUCAAUAAAAUGGAAGGUAUCGGAAAGAAAACAAACGGAAGCCAAAACUUAUCUUUCUUCUUUCAUUUUUCUUUCCGAACCUGUCAUUCCGCUGAAUCUCCACUCCAAGUCUAACCAUCGUUGACGGAUUGUGGAAAAUCAAU
rnacentral:lncRNA from 1 species